rnacentral:rRNA from 1 species
CCUACGGGAGGCAGCAGUGAGGAAUAUUGGUCAAUGGACGAGAGUCUGAACCAGCCAAGCAGCGUGAAGGAUGACUGUCCUAUGGGUUGUAAACUUCUUUUGUAUGGGAACAAAACAGGGUAUGCAUACCCUCUUGUAUGUACCAUAUGAAUAAGGAUCGGCUAACUCCGUGCCAGCAGCCGCGGUAAUUCGGAGGAUUCGAGCGUUAUCCGGAUUUAUUGGGUUUAAAGGGAGUGAAGGUGGGUUGUUAAGUCAGUUGUGAAAGGCCGGGGCUCAACCGUAGAAGUGCAGUUGAAACUGGCAGUCUUGAGAUGGAGAGAGGUAGGCGGAAUGCGUGGUGUAGCGGUGAAAUGCAUAGAUAUCGCGCAGAACUCCGAUUGCGAAGGCAGCACACUGG